GUUGAACACACAUGCAGAAUAUCACAGACAGACUUGGACAACACCCAGCGAUGUCGCAGACAGAAUGAGGAAGGGCAGCUGUGUUCUGGAGCAGCAGGUUGCUCAGCCGAGCACUGGGCUAAUGGCUUCUCAGAAGAAGAGUUCUCAGAGGUAGUUCGAGCUCAAGAUGCUGUUUGAAUCCGGUCGCAAAUUAUGUGACAACAGAAAAUGGGGUUCCUGAGGACAUCACGCAUCUCCAUUUGGAGAAGUAUUCAAAUGGAUAAAAGAACCAUCAGAAAUGGGUACAAGUGUCACUGAUGUCCAGCCAGGCUGGGACUGAAGUUUCGAUGAGAUGAACAAUGAUCACUUUGUCUCACAAGGAAACAAUCAAUUGAAUGUUCACUCGAUUGUUGGAGCAUCUUCAGCAUGCAGGAUUGGAAACAAAUGGAAAAUUAACUUUCCUUGAAAGUAUGCUGUGUCUGAGCGAAGGCCUACAGAUAACUUCACUUCUAUUAUCGCUCCAUGAAACAAACGGUAAUUUUGGUUUUAUUGUGAACUGAGUCUGUGCAAUGAAUUAGAACAGAAAGAACUCAGCACUGAGGUGAAAUUAUGUUAAACUUUUGUGUUAACCUAUCUCAAAAGUUAGUAUCUCAAUAUAUUAGUAAAGGAACAGCCUGGGGUAGGAACAAGGCAGAAGUUCAGUUGGAUGAGCCUGUUCACAGUGGGAGGUGUGUGUUAAAGAACCCCAGUGAGUGUCCUGCACAUUUUAGGGUCUUCCUAGCCAACUAUUUCUUCUUGUCACUAUAUGAAGUUCCACAAAUCCUAUAGAAUUAAAAUGAAUAUAUUGUUUGGUGACUGGUCAAAGUUUUUAUCCUGUGACAGUUAAUUACCUAUUGCCUCUCCGUAUUUUCAACAUAUAUCCAAAUUAUGAGGUUCACUCUCCUGACUCUGGAGUGAGACUAAUGUCCUGGAAAGGAAAUGUCUCUACCAAUGGCAGUUGGUCAUCUAAUGGGAAUUUCCAGCAUUUAAGGUUAGCAUGAGAUGCAAGAAGAACAGUAUAUGGCUUGGUUAUAGGAUGUCUCACUCUAAGCUUUGAAGGGUUGGUCAAGGAAAAAUUAUCCAAAGAAAGCAUUCACAGACAUCCAAAAAGUUGAUUAAUACAUAUUUAAGGUCUUGUAGGCCAAGAAGCAAAGUUUGUGUUUUAGCAACUCUACGUUCUUGCUACUGUUUAAAAGUAGAGCUACGUAAAUAAAUGGCCUACUUGACUUCAGACUAAACUUUAUUUAUGGAAAUUGAAAUAUCAUUUUCAUAACACUUCUACACUCAAAAAUAUUUUCUUUAUUUCUCCAACCACUUAAAUACAUGACUACUAUUUUUAGCUUUGGGGUAUACUAAAACACCACUGAUCAUGGUAUGCAAAUUUUUAUAUUCUCUAACUGACGUGAGCAUAAAGAUC